AGAGUUUGUACGUCCUGGCGUCAAGGACGAACGCUGGCGGCAUGCCUAACACAUGCAAGUCGAACGGGGAUAGCAAUAUCCUAGUGGCGAACGGGUGAGUAACGCGUGAGUAACCUGCCUCAUACAACGGGAUACCUGAGGGAAACUUCAGUUAAUACGGUAUAAGACCACACUGCCGCAUGGCAGAGGGGUAAAAGGAGCAAUCCGGUAUGAGAUGGACUCGCGUCGCAUUAGCUAGUUGGUGAGGUAACGGCCCACCAAGGCGACGAUGCGUAGCCGACCUGAGAGGGUGAUCGGCCACAUUGGGACUGAGAUACGGCCCAGACUCCUACGGGAGGCAGCAGUGGGGGAAUAUUGGGCAAUGGAGGAAACUCUGACCCAGCAAUGCCGCGUGAAUGAAGAAGGUCUUCGGAUUGUAAAGUUCUUUAGUCAGGGAAGAAAGAAAUGACGGUACCUGAAGAAUAAGCUCCGGCUAACUACGUG
rnacentral:rRNA from 1 species